GUGGAAGGAGGACUUCCUGUGGUUACGCCUUCUUCCUGCUCUGCAUCCUGCCUCUGAUUCUCAGUGGAUGGAUUGUCCCAGAAGAAGCACAGGCAGAGCCUCUCCAGCUGAGAUCAAGCAAGCUGCGCGCUUCCUACCAGGCCUGGCCUUGGCCUGCCUGCUCAUCCCGCCCCCGUGCUCCCUGGGAGCCACAGAGGACCGGCAGCAGACUUCUUUAGGGCCGGCCGCCUUCCCUCAGGGAAUGAUGGAAGGAGAAGACAGACUGAGCCGUGGGGAAGACACGACCCGGUGCACUCCUGUACUGCAGCAAACCCACAUUGGACACGGCUUUGUUACAGAUGUCGUAAGAGCAUAAAGUCCGACGGCCGGCAUCGAUGAUAAUACACCAACUUAGAGGUGAGGAAACAGCUCAGAGGUGCAUGACGCACCAGAGCUAACACUUCAGCCCAGCCAUUUGUUCGUCAGGUGCACCGGUUUGUUUUUAGCACUCAGGUAAGAACCAGGUACAGCAAGCUCUUAGUCAGUACUCGCUGAAGAGAGGGAACGUCUAUGCCACAGAGGCAGCCCAAUGAGGUUACUAAGCACAGGAACAUUCAAAGAUCCCCACUGGCGACAACCAUCCCACAGGAAAGGAGCUCAGGGACACCACCCGGCC
rnacentral:lncRNA from 1 species